UUUCCUUCUAAGCUUCAGUUGACAAUAUGUAUUAUUGUGCUUUGAUUAUCAUGUUUAAUAGCUCAAAUUCAUGAAGUUGCAUGUUCUUGAAAUCUGAAUUGGGAGCUUAGUUAUCAGUUUAAACAAAUUAAACAUGUUAGACUUGAAUUUGACUUAGGAGAAAACUAUAGGUUCUACACUGUCAUUUUCUAAAAACUAUCAGAUAGCUCCUUAAGCUAUUGCGCUUUGUAUCCACGCUGUUAGUCCGCAUUUAAUACUCAGAUAGUUUCUGAAGCUGUUGCGUUUCGUAUCCACGAUGUUAGUGCGCAUUUGAUACUCGGAUAGCUUCUGAAGCUGUUGCGGUUCGUAUCUACGCUCUUAGUGUACAUUUGAUACGCAGAUAGUUUAGGAGCUAUAGUUUAUUUGUAUCGCCGUAGUUAUCAGUGGAUACCCAGGAUAGUGUAGAAUGUAUUUACGCUCGUGCUGGGAUGCCGAGCUUAUUUUUACAGCAGUGUUUAGGCUGUUUCGGACUAUCGGGUGCCGUUGAGAUUGACAGUGCACCCAGAUUACUGUUUUUGCAUCAGAUUGUGCCGAGGGCACGUGAGUUUAGUUGUUAG
rnacentral:lncRNA from 1 species